rnacentral:rRNA from 1 species
CACUUACAGAUGGACCCGCGGCGCAUUAGCUAGUUGGUGGGGGUAAUGGCUCACCAAGGCGACGAUGCGUAGCCGACCUGAGAGGGUGAUCGGGCCACACUGGGACUGAGACACGGGCCCAGACUCCUACGGGAGGCAGCAGUAGGGAAUCUUCCGCAAUGGACGAAAGUCUGACGGAGCAACGCCGCGUGAGUGAUGAAGGUUUUCGGAUCGUAAAGCUCUGUUGUUAGGGAAGAACAAGUGCGAGAGUAACUGCUCGCACCUUGACGGUACCUAACCAGAAAGCCACGGCUAACUACGUGCCAGCAGCCGCGGUAAUACGUAGGUGGCAAGCGUUGUCCGGAAUUAUUGGGCGUAAAGGGCUCGCAGGCGGUUUCUUAAGUCUGAUGUGAAAGCCCCCGGCUCAACCGGGGAGGGUCAUUGGAAACUGGGAAACUUGAGUGCAGAAGAGGAGAGUGGAAUUCCACGUGUAGCGGUGAAAUGCGUAGAGAUGUGGAGGAACACCAGUGGCGAAGGCGACUCUCUGGUCUGUAACUGACGCUGAGGAGCGAAAGCGUGGGGAGCGAACAGGAUUAGAUACCCUGGUAGUCCACGCCGUAAACGAUGAGUGCUAACGUGUUACGGGGGUUUCCCGCCCCUUACGUGCUGCAGCUAACGCAUUAAGCACUCCGCCUGGGGAGUACGGUCGCAAGACUGAAACUCAAAGGAAUUGACGGGGGCCCGCACAAGCGGUGGAGCAUGUGGUUUAAUUCGAAGCAACGCGAAGAACCUUACCAGGUCUUGACAUCCUCUGACAACCCUAGAGAUAGGGCUUUCCCUUCGGGGACAGAGUGACAGGUGGUGCAUGGUUGUCGUCAGCUCGUGUCGUGAGAUGUUGGGUUAAGUCCCGCAACGAGCGCAACCCUUGAUCUUAGUUGCCAGCAUUCAGUUGGGCACUCUAAGGUGACUGCCGGUGACAAACCGGAGGAAGGUGGGGAUGACGUCAAAUCAUCAUGCCCCUUAUGACCUGGGCUACACACGUGCUACAAUGGACAGAACAAAGGGCUGCAAGACCGCAAGGGUUUAGCCAAUCCCAUAAAUCUGUUCUCAGUUCGGAUCGCAGUCUGCAACUCGACUGCGUGAAGCUGGAAUCGCUAGUAAUCGCGGAUCAGCAUGC